UUUGAAACAUGCUAGGAAUCUGCUGCUGUUCCCGGGGCUUUAUUCCCAUCACAGUGGGCUCCUCAUCCAUACGGCAUAUGGUUCUGCAAACAACUUUGUGAUUUCUAAUGACGUGCAUCAAAAUGAAACAGAGCUGGCUUCAGAACGUCUCAGCAGUGACUGCUGACCACUGAAUUUUCACGUAAAACAUCACCAGAUAAAGUUAGCCCCGGGUGAUCCUGCUCAGCAACUCAGAAGGGAAGGGAGCUUCAGAACUGCUUUCUAUCCUCAUUCUAAAGCCUCUGGGUGGGACCCAAGGUGAAGACAAUCUCUCUGUAUCUUGACGCCCACACUAUUAUUAUAAAACUCCAUGGUAUUGUAAUCUAAAGGGAGAACAAACAGUUGUACAAAACAAAAGGGUCAAUAAGAAAUAGACAUCAGAGGCUGGGUGCGGUGGCUCAUGCCUGUAAUCCUGGCACUUCAGGAGGCCAACGUGGGGGGAUCACCUGAGGUCAGGAGUUCAAGACCCUGUCUCUACUAAAAUUAGCAGGGCAUGGUGGUGUGUGCCGGUAAUCCCAGCUACUUGGGAGGCUGAGGUGGGAGAAUCGCUUGAACUUGGGAGGCAGAGGUUACUGUGAGCCAAGGUCAUGCCACUGCACUCCAGCCUGAGCAACAGAGCCAGACUCUGCCUCAAAAAAAUAAAAAUAAAAAUAAAAUAAAUAAAUGAAAUGAAAAUAUAAAAAAAGACAUCACAUGUAAAAUAUGCUGAGAUUAUUCUGGCAUGAUUCUAUCUGGACAGAAUGCAGAUAUUCCUGCUUCAAUGCCACCUAACACUGUGUAUGAGAUCCGCCACGUACAGGGAAAAGCUGCAAAGAAAACCAUGUGCUUAGGCCACUUUUUGGCUUCACAACCUUUGGCUUCUCUCAAGAGAAUAUUAGAGUAUAGAAUUGAUCAUAAAGCAAAUUUCUGCACCAAGAAUUUACCUUUCCAAUGGAGAAAAGUUUGUGUUUACUGAAUAUAAAAUAAAUUAAUUAAAAAGGCUUGUAAUCCAACUAAAAGACAUCCAAGAUGAUGUUGGAACAAUCUAACAAAAAAUGAUCAUUUUGUGAUAAACACCCAUAAGAGCAGUCAAAUUAAGUCAGUAAGUAUAAACGAAAAAUUGUCAUGGUUAUUUUCUAUCUAACGCCAUGACUUAAAGGCUUACAGAAAAAUAAAAUAAAAAAUCAUUCAGUUAUCUCUCGAAUCUCCUCUCCAACAUAAUCACGCUAAGGAAUAAUAUGCUUAAUUAUGGACUUGAUUUCUAGCACUGGGAAAGUAGAUGGUUUUUAGAAACUACUUCCAUUAGGCUAAAAAAAGAGGACACUCGGAAACCUAGCAGUAGUAAAGGAGUAAAUGAUACAGACUACUUAAUGUAACAUGCAACCAAAUGGGGGACUUGGAAGAUGUGCCAGGUAGUCUAAAGAGUGAAUGUAAGAAAAGACUGGCUACUGCUUAGGUAAAUGGUGUAGUGUGAAAUGGUACAAAAUCAAUGGAUGACAGAGAAAAGCAUGAUUCCACUUCUACCUCACUUCUGCCUGCACACCAUAAACCAUCCUCAAAGUUACAAGCAGAACAAAUUAAGAGAGGACUCACCCCAGUUAGAUGGCAAUAGUAAGAGAAUGUUUUAACCACUUUACAUGGCAGCCCCAGGGAAAACAGCACCCAUGGCAUUGGAGGGACUGGCAGAUACAGUCACAGAACAACUCUCUAAAAGAAACCACAGCCAGAAAAAGCAAAUGUCCUAGCUCUUCCCUAAGAUAGGAUCCUCAAAUUGCAGACUAAUUUGUUGCUGGGUCCUCAAAAUCACCAGAGGUUGUGUGGCGCAGUAGGCAGGAACAUGGACCUUUGCAAACCCAAUUCUGCCAUUAGUUACAUAUGUCCCUGCGGUGGGGGCGUCAUCUGAUUUCUCUAGACCAUACGUUUUUCAUUUGUAGAACCGAGACAGUAACAGCACCUACGAAAUGUGAGGGCUAAAAAUGAGGCAACGCAUAUAAAGCAUUUACAAGGUGCCUACUACACAACAGCUGAUCAGUAUAUAAAUACGAUUAUUUUAUUUUAGAAUUACAUAAAAAGUAUUUUCGUAUUUAGAAAAGAAAGCAAUGAUUACUAGGAGGCAACAAGAGUUCACAAGAACCAGAUGAUGUUAUCUCUACCAUUCUCCUCUGGUUUUUAAAUAUAAUGUGUUUAGAUUUCUGCAAGAUUGAUUUCCCAGUGGGUAGAAGGAAAUGAUGGAUUGGUUGCUCAUAUAGCUGGACGGACUGGUAGCUAAUUGAACAGCCAUGCCUAAGGAGUAUUGUUCAACAAAUACUUCAUUGUGCUUACUAUGUGUUCAGCAUGUCCUAUAUGCUAAGGAUUCAUAAGUGAAUAAGACAGACAAAAAUUCCUGUCCUCAUGGAGUUUAUAUUGUAAUGAGAUGAGGCAGUAAAAUAAUAAAUAAAUUAUAAAGUAUAGUAGAAUAUGGAAUGUUAUAGGGAAAAGUUAGACCAGGGUAAGGGUAUGGGACUGUGGGAUGGGGCUUUAUGCUUGUAAUCUGUCUGUUAAAUAAGCAUGCUAUCUGACAUCCAAAACACAGUAUAAGCCCCAGGCUGUUAGCCUCCUCCCCUCUUCCUACUUAUAAACCUGUAGUAUUUUUUCCUUCCACUAUGAGAACUUCAUUACUCUGAGUCAUAAUUGUGUGUUUAAUGUUUACCUUUGUCGCUAAGCUGAAAGCUCCAGAGUCUAGGGAGAAUGGCAAGACCAAGGAAGGGUCUCAGCAUUUGAGGAAUGGCUGCAGAAAGUGUCACGGGAAGGAGAAUCAAAUGGACCACACUGGAUGCCUCGUGUUUUUAAAGGACAUUGUUAUUAAUGGGACAGGGUUCAUACUCAUUCUGGGUCAUUCCAGACACGGGAGUUUGAACUAAUGGGGGAAAGUCCAGGGACUAGUCCAGCUUCCCAAAAGUUCUUUUUCACAGUUAGAAUAAUCUACAAAGAAAGUAAGCAUGAUUGAUUUCAUGUUCAAUCAGAAGUUAAAUGAUUAAGUGGAAGUUACUUAUUAACCUACACUUCUAAAAUGUAAGAUUCUAACUUUAAGACUAUAAUUCUGGUCAUUUCCAACAAUUUUAUUAAUAAAACGUUGAAUGGUAAAUUUCUGUAUUUUCUGGGUUAGUGUAGUAGUAAGUCUAUGACUUCUUUGUUAAGAAAACCCAUACAGAGAAUACAAAGAUUAUUUAUUCUAAAAGUACCAAUCUAAAAUUAUGAAAUAAGAGUCAUUAUAGCAGC
rnacentral:lncRNA from 10 species